CUGAGACAUUAAUGGUGAUCCAAGGGAAGGCAGCAUGAAUUUGCUUUGGGGUCAGUCCUGUCCCAGCUGAGCUGACUGCAGCCUCUGGGGCUUUGGGGUCAGUCUUGUCCCAGCUGAGCUGACUGCAGCCUCUGGGGCUUUGGGGUCAGUCCUGUCCCAGCUGCCUGUGCUGUCCCACUGUGCACCUGCAUCUUGGUGUUGGAAACUGCACUGCCUGAGAGACCUCUUGCUGUUAAAAAGCAGUUCACUUGCACCUUUAAUGAUGAGUUUCUUGGUGUCUGAUCCAUCAACAAAACAUUUCACUGACUGACUGUUUAUCCUUGCAUGGUUCUACAAAGGGCUUGCCUGUAGCAACACCAGCAACAAAAAACCCUUCCAUGGAGUCUAGUCUUUGGAUCUAGCAGAAAUAUUCAAGGAUUUCAGCAAAAGGCAGAGCACAGGCACAGCUGCUACAGCAGCACAGAAGUGAAUAACAACCCAGAGGAGAAGCCUGCUGUUUGCACACAGGGCUGGGAGCCCUUCACAACUGGGAACUGCACAGCACGGGUUUAGGCAAUGGAAGAGAGGAAAUAAAGCCAAUGGAGAAUUAAGGAUGUCUCAUCCUUUGAAGAUCUGAAGAAAAUGUUAAAGAUCUCUAACAGCAAAAACACUGAUCUUCAGAAGCAGCUUGAGGUAGGAAUAAAAGUCCUACCAGAAGGGCUCAGCACUCUCCAGAGAAGGCAAUAAACUUUCCUGGGGUGUGGAAAUCUGCAUUCUUUCAACUGCCUCAGAAAUGCUUUAUGAAGACACCACCUCAGUUUGGUCCUUUGGGAUUGUCUGGAGCCUCUUUGCUUUUAUCAGCCAGUUACUGUCACUAGGAGAGCAACUUUACCCUUGAACACUUUUGCAAACAAAGUGUGCUGAAGUGUGGCUGUACCACAGCUGCAGCACGGCUUGGGGUGUGCAGCCACUGCAGAUGAAGAUGUGACCAUGGUGUGGAGAUGCCUGCUCAGUGUUUGGUUGUGGCCUUUGUAUCUGGCUCAGGGAUUAAGUUCUGUCUUGAGUUUGCUUUAAAUGAAAGGAACCUUGGCAUCACUUCAGCAUCACUGUUAGCCACAAGGAGAUGGAGGAUGUACAGAUGAGGACCACAAAUCUGCACCAUAAAAGGGAACUAAAGGUCCUUCCCUCCUGAUGGUUAAACUGUGCAAACUGGAACCAGACAGGCAGGUUUAUUUUAUUUUGUUUUAUUGUAGUCACUGCUGUUAAGAAUUGAAUGGGAGAGAAAAAUGUCUUUUUUGGUAUUCUUGAAAGGAUCUGUCAGUGCUUCUUUGAGCUCUCUGGCUGUUUCACUGUCUGGGACAUGGGCUUGAAUGGCUGAAGGCUAUUAGAGAUGUGCUCAGUGCCUGAAUGGAUGCAGUCUUAAGCCUUUGAUAAAUGGUGCUUGUGCAGGGCUGGUAUGAGGUGCUCAGCUGCCAGAUUUCACUGGG
rnacentral:lncRNA from 1 species